rnacentral:rRNA from 1 species
ACUCAAAGGAAUUGACGGGGGCCCGCACAAGCAGCGGAGCGUGUGGUUUAAUUCGAGGCUACACGAAGAACCUUACCUGGGUUUGACAUACAGGUGGUAAGAAGGUGAAAGCCGACUGACCGCAAGGAGCCUGUACAGGUGCUGCAUGGCUGUCGUCAGCUCGUGCCGUGAGGUGUUAGGUUAAGUCCUGUAACGAGCGCAACCCCCAGGUCCAGUUACACGUUGUCUGGACCGACUGCCCGUGACAAGCGGGAGGAAGGUGGGGAUGACGUCAAGUCAGCAUGGCCUUUAUAUCCAGGGCUACACACACGCUACAAUGGUCGGUACAAUGGGUCGCCAAGCCGCAAGGCGGAGCCAAUCCAAACAAAGCCGAUCCCAGUUCGGAUUGUGGGCUGCAACCCGCCCACAUGAAGUCGGAGUUGCUAGUAACCGCGGGUCAGCCAUACCGCGGUGAAUACGUUCCCGGGCCUUGUACACACCGCCCGU